rnacentral:lncRNA from 1 species
UUUUUUUAUUUUUUUACUAACCAAAAUACCAAAAAUAUGUCCAUAUAUAACUUUGUUUCUUUUGAAGGUAGUAUGUGCAUCCACCAAUGCCUCAUCAAGAUCACAACUAGGGUUUGAGACCCUCAGUGCAAGGAAAUAAAUCAAGAGAUGGUUCACAUUGGUUCUAGACAUCAUGUAUGGAUCCCCAUGUUCUUCAUUUAUCAUUUGUAUCAAG